GCCAGGUGUGGUGGCUCACACCUGUAAUCCCAGCACUUUGGGAGGCUGAGGUGGGUGGAUCACUUGAGGUCAGGAGUUCAAGACCAGCCUGACCAACAUGGUGAAACCCCAUCUCUA
ensembl:misc_RNA Metazoa_SRP Metazoan signal recognition particle RNA